AACCACUGCUCUAGGAGAUGUUGGACGAUGUCACUUAUGGUUGACGUUUGAAGUAUUGUCAAACAAGACGGAGGCUAGCUCGCCCCUCCCUCCUCCUCAUCCCGU